GCUGUUUGGCAAGCUCCAGACGCGACUUUCAUCUGGCAAGUAGCUUGUUGCCAUGGAGGCUGUGCUUUUACAGAUUUUCAGAGAUAUGAUGACCCUGAAAUGCAAUCAUCAUCCAUAAUCCUCCAACUUUGAUUAAUCAAGCAUUUUCUUGCCUUUCUCCCAUCUCUCCUUCCUUUUGAAGACCUAUCCAGCUGUUUUAUAAUGAUAAUUAUUUGUCAAUUAUCAAUUUUAUUGUAUACAAGUCACCUGAUUUACCAUUAUUAAGCGUGUUUUGUCUCUCUGAUCUUUCUCAUGUUCCUUAUGUUUAUAUUCCAAUCAGUAGUAAUUCAGGUAGUGUUGAGUACAAUGCUUUUUUUUGUUCCCUUAUGACAAAAAUGAAGAAUACAAAGACAUUUAUUUUCUACCAACAGGACAUUUUAUAGUGUGUUAGGGUUUCACUGGUGUUCCUUCAGUACCAAAAGUAGUAAAAUAAUUCAUUGUUGGAUUUGAAUAGUAACAAAUGUAUUAUUUUCGUUGAAAAGUUCAUAUUGAAUGUGAUAUAAGUAGUCGCUGAUAAAGUGUACGUCCAAACCUUGUCUUUGCCUCCAGCCUUUUGUAGUCUUCUCUGAAUAGCUUUAGUAUCCUCACAGUUGUGGCGUUCGCCCCCUGUAGCCUACCUCCCACACAUCUUUCCUGACAUGUCUGCUUUAACUUUACCGAUCUACUUGGUCAAUCUUCGCCCAUUCUUUCUAACAUAUCUGUUGCAACUCUGCCAGAUAACUCCUUCAAACCAGGUCUAGAGAGGGUCAUUUAAUGAUUAAUUCCUGAAGUGAUCAUUUUGUAUAAAAUAAAAAAAACACUUUCCCAUGCAUUCACCAAAGAUGAGCCUUCUCUGGAACUAUGACUAUGAUAUAUAAAAAAAAAUAAAAAAUAAAAAAAGGAUUUAUAAUUAUAACUUAGCUGUAAUAUAAGCUAGAUGUUUGUGAGAUGCAUUUUUUAUUUAAAGCAAUAACACGAGGUAUUGAGAUCACUGUUUAUCUUUACAGUAUAUUUGUAAGUGAUCUAUUCUGGAAAAUGUUGUGUGCUUAAAAGGCUGAUAAAAAAACAAUGGUUAACCUUGAAAUCUGUAAAUUAGAUGUCUUUUUCUGUUUGUUCAGUGUGUUGAUCGUGUGAACAUUAUUAUUCUGUGUUCUUGAUUUAUUGUUGUUUUGACACAAAGUAACAUAUUACAGAACCUUAAGUUGAAGCCGGCCAAAAAAUCCUCAAAGAUUAAAAGAUUUGAAUUAUUAUCUUCUUUCUUGGAAUCCUAUUAACUUGUAGCAG
ensembl:lncRNA